UUUAUAAAAUUUUAAACCUUAAUUCCAAAACCUCACCCCCUUAACUCUAAACCCUAAGGUUUGGAUUAAUUAACCCAAUGGGUAUAAGUGUAUAUUUACCUCUUUAAUGAAACCUAUUUUUGUGACUUUGAACCUUGAGUGCUAUUUUGGGAACAAAAACUUGGUUUAGUGCUAUCCUAGUAUUUUUCUCUUUAAAAAAUUGACUGUUGCUUUAGAAAAAACCUAAAGCCAUAAUUUGUUGUUUUUGGAAACCAUUUACUAAGAGUAAAUUCAGUUAUUGUGGCUUUGAGAAUUUUAAGGAAAAUUUUUGUGGGGCGUAUUAGAUUGGGAAUUUUAUAAAAUUAUAGGUUUUUGUCAAAUCCUCACUUAUUGGAUUAGGAAUUUAUAAAAAACUUUAUAAAUCCUCUUUUAUUGGAUGUAGCAUUUAUAAAAACCUUAUAAAGUUUCCCCUUAUUGAAAAAAAAUGGAUUUGAUCAGUGAGAUUCAUCAAAAAAUAUUUUUGAAUAUUAAAAACUAUCAUUUAUCCUUCAAAUCCAAUAAAAAAAUACCAUCUAAAGAGAUGGAAUUUGAGACAAACAUUUAUUUCAUAUUUACCACAAGAGAACUUAUAAGAAAUUGGAAGAGAUCAACUCAAACUUUUCUCACCAUCAUCGAUCUGAGAGGUGGUUCCUAUGAUGAGCUAACAACGGAGGUCUCAACGAGAAGAUGAUGAUGUGCGACGUCUCACCUUCUCGACCCUCCUCGCAGAAAUCCAGUUUGCAGCAAAUCAAAGAUAUGAUUCUUACACUGAAGAAUCUGAGUUCAGUAGAGGAAUCAUUGAUUAUAUGUAUGGUUUGGAUAUGUCUAGCAACGGAUGGUGUCAUCCCAUCAAAACUUGGAGAACUCUCAAAACUACGAGCUAUGAAUCUAUCUCGCAAUUUCUUGUGGCAACUCUUUGAUUUGUUUCCAAUGGAUUCCAAAAAGAUGGAUAUUGGCUCUAAAGAUUUGAUCAGCAGUCUACCAGACGUAUUUAUCUGCCACAUCUUAUUCCUCUCCAUAAAAGAUGUUGCUUUGACUUCAAUUCUCACGAAAAGGUGGAGAUGUCUGCUAGCUUUUGUAACAAUCUCGAUCUUGAGAACACCAUCUACGACCUUACUAAAAUGGGUAGACAGAAAAGGCUUCAUUUGCGUAAAAGCUUUAAGCUUUUGUGGAUAGAGUCAUGGCCUUGCAAAGGACGCUCCGUUGAACAAAAUCUCUCUAUGGUGUAGAAUCGGUUCUGGUCCAUCUCGUGUCAAUGGUUGGAUAUUCAAGGUGUUGGAGUGUUGUGUUUUUAUCUUGAUAUAUACAUCUCUUCGGCAGACAAGUAUCCAUUUCCUCGACAGGUUCUGACGAGCAAGACGUUGGUUAAGCUGAAAGUAGGAGGUACAUAUGAGUUUGUCAUUGAUGUCAAAGAAUUUUCUCUUCUAAAGCUCAAGACUUUGCAUAUGAAUGCUGUUUCUUUCGCUGAAGAGAAUGUUAUAAUAUGAAUGAAUCAGUGUUAAAACAAACAAGAACUUCCCAAUGUGAAAGCCAUAACAGCAACUAUGUUACCAUAGAGAAUUUAUUCAAGUCCA